UGGCAAUAAUGAUGACCUAUGAGACUACUGUAUGUAAUUUCUAUUACAACAUGUUGACAACAGUCCCUCUAAGCUGAUAUUGCCU